rnacentral:rRNA from 1 species
UUUCCCGGUUGAUCCUGCCGGACCCGACUGCUAUCAGAGUGGGACUAAGCCAUGCGAGUCAACGCCGCAAGGCGUGGCAUACGGCUCAGUAACACGUAGUCAACAUGCCCAAGGGACGUGGAUAACCUCGGGAAACUGAGGAUAAACCGCGAUAGGCCAAGAUUUCUGGAAUGGAUCAUGGCUGAAAUCUAUAUGGCCCUUGGAUUGGACUGCGGCCGAUCAGGCUGUUGGUGAGGUAAUGGCCCACCAAACCUAUAACCGGUACGGGCUUUGAGAGAAGGAGCCCGGAGAUGGGCACUGAGACAAGGGCCCAGGCCCUAUGGGGCGCAGCAGGCGCGAAAACUCUGCAAUAGGCGAAAGCUUGACAGGGUUACUCUGAGUGAUGCCCGCUAAGGGCAUCUUUUGGUACCUCUAAAAGUGGUGCAGAAUAAGGGGUGGGCAAGUCUGGUGUCAGCCGCCGCGGUAAUACCAGCACCCCGAGUGGUCGGGACGAUUAUUGGGCCUAAAGCAUCCGUAGCUUGUCCUGCAAGUCUUCCGUUAAAUCCACCUGCUCAACAGAUGGGCUGCGGGAGAUACUACAGGGCUAGGAGGCGGGAGAGGCAAGCGGUACUCAGUGGGUAGGGGUAAAAUCCUCUGAUCCACUGAAGACCACCAGCGGCGAGGGCGGCUUGCCAGAACGCGCUCGACGGUGAGGGAUGAAAGCUGGGGGAGCAAACCGGAUUAGAUACCCGGGUAGUCCCAGCUGUAAACGAUGCAGACUCGGUGAUGGGUUGGCUUCGGGCCAACCCAGUGCCGCAGGGAAGCCGUUAAGUCUGCCGCCUGGGGAGUACGGUCGCAAGACUGAAACUUAAAGGAAUUGGCGGGGGAGCACCACAAGGGGUGAAGCCUGCGGUUCAAUUGGAGUCAACGCCGGA